ensembl:lncRNA
AUGCAAAUGAGCGACAAUGCAUCCACCUGCCAAGCUGUUUAGGCAGCAUUUGAGGCGAGCGAAUGAGAGCGCACAGAAGUGCGCUUGUGUUUGGAAAUACUCAGACGGGCAUUCACGGCGUUCAAGCUGUUCACGGAGUUGUCAGGUGGCUUUUACGCUUCUAACGCGUCUUAGCUUAAUAUCCAAUGGGAUUUUAUAACAACUGUACCAAAUGAACACUAUAAUAGAGAAGAAGAAGCACACCGCGCUCAGGUGUUCAGAGAGAUAAGGACUGGACCUCACUAUACCUGCAGGACCCGGGACAUACGAACAUUAACCAGAACCCAGACAUUUCCUGGAUUCACUCUUUGAAUUCAACUCAAAGUUUCUUCUGGACAGCUUGGAGCAAGCAGUGACCUCUUCAAGUGUGUCUUUCUGAAUUCAACGGAUGCACCAUGCUGUUGGACAGUCUAUGGUCAGUCCAGGUUCUCCUGGCUCUAUCUGUCCUAACAUUGGGUUCGGGCGGCGAACCUCAGAACGCCCCUCGGGUCUUCUUGUCCUUCAAAGAAAACCAAACACCUCAUUCUCUCGCUGUCUGCUCGUUCCAUUGAGGAACAGUUUUGCCCAAGGAGAUCUGAGGUCUACUGGUACAGCCCAUCACUUCUCUUUCCUGUUGAACACAUCAGACUAUCGCAUCCUGCGCAUGGAUGAGGAUCACGACCGCAUGUAUGUGGGCAGCAAAGACUACAUCCUGUCUCUGGACCUCCAUGACAUCAACCGAGAACCCCUCAUAAUACACUGGCCUGUUUCUCCACAGAGGAAGAUGGAGUGUGUUCUGAGUGGCAAAGACACAAACGUGAGUGCCGUCUUUCAAUUUCUUUGCUUCCACUCCGCUCACAUAUGCUUUAAUCUGGAAGGCGAAGAAAAACUCAGAAUAGCACUCAGCCCUUCAAAUAAGUGUUCUAAUUUUUCCAAGAAUUAUUCCAGACAAUCUAAUAUUUGCUUUCAAUUUCCCUUUCAGGAAUAUGUCUUCCAUCUGGAGCCCGGCAAGGAGGAUUCUGGGAAGGGAAAGUGCCCAUAUGAUCCAAAACUGAACAGUGUCUCCACUUUGAUUAAUGGAGAACUGUAUGCAGGGGUGUAUAUUGAUUUCAUGGGAACAGACUCUGCUAUUUUCCGAACUUUGGGGAAAAAUGCAGUCAUGCGCACUGACCAAUACAACUCAAGAUGGCUAAAUGACCCCUCAUUUGUCCAUGUGCACCUUAUCCCUGACAGCAACGAAAAAAACGAUGACAAACUCUACUUUUUCUUCCGUGAGAAGUCUUCCGAGAUGGGCCAGAGCCCCAAAUUACAGUCACGCAUCGGUCGAAUCUGCCUGAACGAUGAUGGCGGUCACUGCUGCUUGGUCAACAAGUGGAGCACCUUCCUGAAAGCCCGUCUCAUCUGCUCAGUCCCAGGAGCUGAUGGGAUUGAAACACAUUUCGACGAGCUCAGGGAUGUGUACAUACAGCCUACGCAGGACACUAAAAAUCCCGUCAUCUAUGGGGUCUUCUCUGUGUCUGGCUCUGUAUUCAAAGGCUCAGCGGUCUGCGUCUACUCAAUGGCAGACAUUCGGAUGGUGUUCAAUGGACCUUUUGCUCACAAAGAAGGUCCCAAUUAUCAGUGGGUGGCCUACUCUGGAAAAAUCCCCUACCCUCGUCCAGGAACAUGUCCUGGUGGGACUUUCACCCCUAACAUGAAGUCCACGAAAGACUACCCUGACGAGGUCAUCAACUUCAUGCGGAACCAUCCCACCAUGUACAAUACUGUGUAUCCGGUGCACAAGCGCCCCCUGGUGGUCAGGACCAACGUAGACUAUGAGUUCACCACCAUCACUGUGGACCAGGUGACUGCAGCCGAUGGCAACUACGAAGUGCUCUUCCUGGGUACAGACAGAGGUACAGUACAGAAGGUUAUCGUCCUGCCCAGAGAUGACCUGCAGACAGAGGAACUACUGCUAGAGGAAGUGGAGGUCUUUAAGGUGAGAUCUGCACCGGGGUCUCCAGGUCAACAACUAUAUGUAGCGUCAGCGGUUGGUGUGACUCAUCUGGCCCUGCACAGGUGUGAUGUCUAUGGCGAGGCCUGCGCAGACUGCUGUUUGGCCCGGGACCCUUAUUGUGCAUGGGAUGGCAAGUCCUGUUCUCGGUACUCUGCCUCACAGAAGAGACGCAGUCGGCGACAGGAUGUGAAAUACGGGAAUCCCAUACGGCAGUGCAGAGGAUACAAUUCUAACACUAAUAAGAACACUCUGGAGACGGUGCAGUAUGGGGUGGAGGGCAGCAGCACGUUUUUGGAGUGCCAGGCCAGAUCACCCCACGCUGCCAUUAAAUGGCAUCUCCACCGAGACAACAGCGAUAGAAGGAGAGAGGUCCGUACCGAUGGGCGCGUGUUGAAGACAGAUCAAGGCCUACUACUGCCUUCCCUCCAGUCCUCAGACUCUGGCAUCUACGUUUGCACAACGGCAACUAUUCACCUUAAAACGAUGACUUUUUCCUCAACAGUUAAUGGUAUUGUUACUAUUCCUGCAAAGCGCCACAUGGCCCCGAAAACCAGUGUGAAGCAGCGUCUUACAUUGAGAGAAAAUGGUUGUACAAUUUCUUGGUAUUUUUAA